rnacentral:rRNA from 1 species
ACACAUGCAGUCGAACGGUAGCACAGAGAGCUUGCUCUCGGGUGACGAGUGGCGGACGGGUGAGUAAUGUCUGGGAAACUGCCUGAUGGAGGGGGAUAACUACUGGAAACGGUAGCUAAUACCGCAUAAUGUCGCAAGACCAAAGAGGGGGACCUUCGGGCCUCUUGCCAUCAGAUGUGCCCAGAUGGGAUUAGCUAGUAGGUGGGGUAACGGCUCACCUAGGCGACGAUCCCUAGCUGGUCUGAGAGGAUGACCAGCCACACUGGAACUGAGACACGGUCCAGACUCCUACGGGAGGCAGCAGUGGGGAAUAUUGCACAAUGGGCGCAAGCCUGAUGCAGCCAUGCCGCGUGUAUGAAGAAGGCCUUCGGGUUGUAAAGUACUUUCAGCGGGGAGGAAGGUGUUGUGGUUAAUAACCGCAGCAAUUGACGUUACCCGCAGAAGAAGCACCGGCUAACUCCGUGCCAGCAGCCGCGGUAAUACGGAGGGUGCAAGCGUUAAUCGGAAUUACUGGGCGUAAAGCGCACGCAGGCGGUCUGUCAAGUCGGAUGUGAAAUCCCCGGGCUCAACCUGGGAACUGCAUUCGAAACUGGCAGGCUGGAGUCUUGUAGAGGGGGGUAGAAUUCCAGGUGUAGCGGUGAAAUGCGUAGAGAUCUGGAGGAAUACCGGUGGCGAAGGCGGCCCCCUGGACAAAGACUGACGCUCAGGUGCGAAAGCGUGGGGAGCAAACAGGAUUAGAUACCCUGGUAGUCCACGCCGUAAACGAUGUCGAUUUGGAGGUUGUGCCCUUGAGGCGUGGCUUCCGGAGCUAACGCGUUAAAUCGACCGCCUGGGGAGUACGGCCGCAAGGUUAAAACUCAAAUGAAUUGACGGGGGCCCGCACAAGCGGUGGAGCAUGUGGUUUAAUUCGAUGCAACGCGAAGAACCUUACCUGGUCUUGACAUCCACAGAACUUUCCAGAGAUGGAUUGGUGCCUUCGGGAACUGUGAGACAGGUGCUGCAUGGCUGUCGUCAGCUCGUGUUGUGAAAUGUUGGGUUAAGUCCCGCAACGAGCGCAACCCUUAUCCUUUGUUGCCAGCGGUUAGGCCGGGAACUCAAAGGAAACUGCCAUUGAUAAACUGGGAGGAAAGUGGGGGAUAAACGUCAAAUCAUUCAUGGGCCCUUUCCGACCAGGGGUUACACAC